CCUACGGGUGGCAGCAGUGGGGAAUAUUGCACAAUGGGGGAAACCCUGAUGCAGCGACGCCGCGUGAGUGAAGAAGUAUUUCGGUUUGUAAAGCUCUAUUAGCAGGGAAGAAAAUGACGGUACCUGAUUAAGAAGCCCCGGCUAAAUACGUGCCAGCAGCCGCGGUAAUACGUAGGGGGCAACCGGUAUGCGGAUUUACUGGGUGUAAAGGGGGCGUAGACGGCAGCACAAGUCUGGAGUGAAAUGCCGGAGCUUAACCCCGGAACUGCUUUGGAAACUGUGCGGCUAGAGUGCAGGAGAGGUAAGUGGAAUUCCUAGUGUAGCGGUGAAAUGCGUAGAUAUUAGGAGGAACACCAGUGGCGAAGGCAGCUUACUGGAAUGUAACUGACGCUGAGGCACGAAAGCGUGGGGAGCAAACAGGAUUAGAUACCCCAGUAGUC
rnacentral:rRNA from 1 species